rnacentral:rRNA from 1 species
GUAAGUAGAGCGUACAUAAAGCGAAACUGCGAACGGCUCAUUACAACAGAUAUAAUCUACUUGUUCUUUUCAAUCUAAACGGAUAACUGCGGUAAUUCUGGAGCCAAUACGUGACUAAAAGCAGUGGCCUUCGGGUCGCUGUGCUACUAUUGGAGCAAAACUAUUCGUUAGUCCUUUUGCUAACUCUGGAUAAUACUGCGUAUCGCAUGACCUCGUGUCGGCGAAGUUUCAUUCGAGUAUCUGCCCUAUCAACUUGCUGGCAGUGUAUUGGACUGCCAUGGUUCUAACGGGUAACGGAGGAUCAGGGUCUGACUCCGGAGAGGGAGCCUUAGAAACGGCUACCAUGUCUAAGGAUAGCAGCAGGCGCGAAAAUUACCCAAUAUCAAUACGAUGAGGUAGUGACGAGAAAUAACGAGUCCGCUCUCUCUGAGGUCGGACAUUGGAAUGGGUACAAUCUAGACAAUUUAACGAGUAUCUACGAGAGGGCAGGUCUGGUGCCAGCAGCCGCGGUAAUUCCAGCUCUCGUAAUACAUAGAAUUAUUGUUGCGGUUAAAAAGUUCGUAGUUGAUUAGCGAACCGUUCGGGGUGCACCCUAACGGGUGUCACUCGUCGGACGGUAUUUUGUGCGUUUGUGUGCGGCGGCUUUCGGGUCGCUCGUAUGCUGCGUGCAGGAUUACUUUGAACGGCUUAAGUGCUCAAGGCGGGUCUUACGACCGAAUACCGGUGCGUGGAAUAAUGGAACAAGGUUGCGGCCGAGUUUUAUUGGUUUUGUCGGCUGAAACAAUGGUUAACAGGAACAGCCGGGGGCAUUCGUAUCGCUGCGCGAGAGGUGAAAUUCGGGGACCGUAGCGAGACGCACUAAAGCGAAGGCAUUUGCCAAGAGUGUUUUCAUUAAUCAAGAACGAAAGUUAGAGGUUCGAAGGCGAUUAGAUACCGCCCUAGUUCUAACCGUAAAUGAUGCCAACUGCCAAUCCGCUGGUGGAUUUAAUUCACGAGCGGGCGGGUUUCCGGAAACGAAAGUCUUUCGGUUCCGGGGGAAGUAUGGUUGCAAAGCUGAAACUAAAGAAUGACGGAAACCCCAGGAGUGGAGCUUGCGGCUUAAUUUGACUCAACACGGGAAACCUCACCCGGCCAGCACAUCGUAAGGAUUGACAGACCGAUAGCUCUUUCAUGAUUCGUUGGAUGGUGGUGCAUGGCCGUUCUUAGUUCGUGCUAAUUGAAGUGUCUGCUUUAUUGCGAUAACGAGCGGGACGCCAACUGUUAACUAGUGCGUUGAUUGGUUCGCUUGUCAACGAUCGGCUUCUUAACGGGAUUUGUGGUUACUAGCCUCAAGAAAUGGCGCAAUAACAGGUCUGUGAUGCCCUUAGAUGUUCGGGGCCGCACGCGUGCUACAAUGGUGGUAUCAGCGUGCUUGUCCUACUCCGAAAGGAGAUGGCAAACAGUUGAGAUAUUAUUAUGGCUGGAAUUGAGUGUUGAAAUUUUCACUCAUGAACGAGGAAUUCCAAGUAAAUGCGAGUCAUCAACUCGCAUUGAUUACGUCCCUGCCCUUUGU